UGUCGGCUGCUUUGUUGAGCCG
rnacentral:snRNA from 1 species